UACGUAGGGUGCGAGCGUUGUCCGGAAUUAUUGGGCGUAAAAGGGCUCGUAGGCGGUCUGUUGCGUCAGGAGUGAAAACUCGGGGCUUAACCCCGAGCCUGCUUCUGAUACGGGCAGACUAGAGGUAUGCAGGGGGAGAACGGAAUUCCUGGUGUAGCGGUGAAAUGCGCAGAUAUCAGGAGGAACACCGGUGGGCGAAGGC
rnacentral:rRNA from 1 species